rnacentral:rRNA from 1 species
AGUGAACGCUGGCGGCAGGCCUAACACAUGCAAGUCGAACGGCAGCACAAGAUAGCUUGCUCUCUGGGUGGCGAGUGGCGGACGGGUGAGGAAUGCAUCGGAAUCUGCCCAUUUGUGGGGGAUAACCUCGGGAAACCGGGACUAAUACCGCAUACGACCUACGGGUGAAAGCAGGGGAUCUUCGGACCUUGCGCAGAUGGAUGAGCCGAUGCCGGAUUAGCUAGUUGGAGGGGUAAAGGCCCACCAAGGCGACGAUCCGUAGCUGGUCUGAGAGGAUGAUCAGCCACACUGGGACUGAGACACGGCCCAGACUCCUACGGGAGGCAGCAGUGGGGAAUAUUGGACAAUGGGCGCAAGCCUGAUCCAGCCAUGCCGCGUGUGUGAAGAAGGCCUUCGGGUUGUAAAGCACUUUUGUUGGGAAAGAAAAGCAGCCGGUUAAUACCCGGUUGUCAUGACGGUACCCAAAGAAUAAGCACCGGCUAACUUCGUG